rfam:Brachypodium distachyon strain Bd21 chromosome 3, whole genome shotgun sequence.
CUUGUACUCCCUCCGUCCAAUAAAAGAUGUAUCAAGUUUUUCAAAAUUUGGAUGUAUCUAGACAUGACUUAGUGUAUAGAUGCAUUUAAAUUUAGUCAAAGUUGAGGCAUCUUUUGUUGGACGGAGGAAGCCAUACU